rnacentral:lncRNA from 1 species
AUUAGGAUUUAAUACAUCUCAGUAUAAAAAUGUUUUACAUUUACAUCUAAAUACAUCGCACAAUUAUUCAAUCUUUUAUAUUUAUUUUUUAAAAUAAAGUUUAUGUGAGUUGAAUUUUAAGGGUUUGAUCAUCAUAAGAGUAAAAAAUAGAUGAUACAGAUUUUAUGAUCUUCUGCAAUGUAAAGCAUGACUUUUUGUUUGCUUUGAAUGUAAUGUAACUUUUCUAUGGAUAAGCACUCACCAACCAUCUCCAUAAUUUUCAUAUACAAUGACACUCAAAUCUUACCUAUUCACUUUUGGCCAAGACAAUGCAGAAAACCAAGCCUGUAAGGCUUGGUCCCCAAGCCAUGCAUAAUGUAACAACUACAUAGUCACCAAAGUGAACAUAGUCUAAUAAGUUUUUUCAUGUAACAAAAUGUUCAGAUGUUUUUUGUUUAAUCAUAUAUUUAUUUUUUGGUGAAAAUCAAGACAAUUUGAUUAUUGAUAUAAUGAUUUCAUAUACUGCAGAAUGGUGUCCAGUUUUAAAUACAGUUUCAUUAUUUUGAGAGUAUGUUAUUUGAACACCAAAAUGCUUCUCUUUGGUACGUUGGAAAUGCAUUGUGUUUAACUUGCAAAUAAUCCUCAAUUUAUGAAUGCAGGAAUCUGUUUAUGGAUGGGAAGAACUCAGCAACAUUAACUGCUAUCUUUUCAUUUUUUGCAGUAGCUUAUGUGAUUAGGCUCGACAGAGUAUACAUGUACAAGUACAACAAAACAAGGCAUUAAAAUUAGUUUGUACUUGAUGUUUGGUUUUACAUAACAUCUAUAGUUGUUAGACAGAAUUCAACUACUCCUCAAAUCCCUACGUCGGGGUAAUUACAAGAAUACAUGUCAUAAGCAACAAACUUUGAUACAUUACGAGUGAGUUUCAAUCAUAAUUAAAAAUUAGACGAGGUACUCAAACCAUGUCCGCAAUAUCAUUAUGUCCACUGUCAUUCCACCCAGAUCCUGCUCGAAAUUUGCAGACAGGGCAAGUCCCUUGUUGCCGCAACCAGGGAUCAAUGCAGCUAGCGUGAAACUUCAAGAUAAAAACAAAUGAACAGAAUCAGUAGCACAUUGAUAUAAAAUAAAAUUAUAAACACAGGAUCAACCAUGAGGUUUUUAUAUACUUCUUAGAAUUGGUUGACUUCUUAAUGUAACAAGAUUUACUUCACUUAAAACUGAAAUGUUGAUCUAAUGUGGAUGAAUAUAUCUACACAACUUUUUUUGGGGAAGGAAAAAAUUAGAAUAGGCCACUAGGGGAGGCACGCCCCAUGCAAGGAAAGAUAUGAAAACAAAUUUGAAGAACAUGAAUGUUUCAAACAUACUUAACUACUAAAAUCAGUAUCUAGAAUUUAAAUGGGGAGAAAAUAUUCUUUCCAUAUGAAAAAAAUAGUGAUCAGGUGCCUUUUCAAUAGAUAAACUCAAGCUCAUGAUGGAACAUCCGAAGAAAAAUACUACUCAAAACAAGGGCCGUGCUAUAAAAAAAGUCAAUCGCUACGCUUCAUAUCCAAUUUCAACUAUAGACAAAAUUUUAUAGGAUUUUAACUAACUUUUGUUCUUGGCAGCAGGAAAUGCAGAUUAAAACUUGAUACUAGAAAGCCUGCUUUACUUUCUCAUUAACUUCAAAGUGACUAUUGUUUUUAGUGUGUGUGGCACACGAGAGCAUGUGCAUACGUCCACCCUUUGUAAACCCUAUGGUAGAUGCCAACGCUCCAGAUUUCUUCUCACAUAAUCAGUCUCAGAAUGUGUGCCAAUACACACUUUGACUCCUUGUAUAUAUUAGUGACUUAGAUGAACAUUAGCAGAUAUGAUUCAGUUGAACUGGCACAAUAUAUCAUUAAACAAAUAAGAAACAAACUAAUUGUUAAAAGGUUACAACUCUAAGCAAUGAAACAGACCUGAUGCAGGAAGGGCAAGCUACGAAGUACAUCUCCAACAUUAACUUGCUCCAAGCAUACACUGCAAGUGAGCUCAUCACCAGAGGCUUUUGAGUUUCCAACCGCAUUUGAAUUAUCCUGUUUCUUCUGCCAGAAACGAAUCAUGAAAACCUGCCACUCCACAGUAAAUGAAAAGAUUGUAAUUUGACAGUAAAGAAAAUAAAUAAUGCUGUAUGCUCGUCUGAUCAUUCUGUUAUUUAACUCCCAUAUGGGAACAUCAAGUGAUGGAAAAUACUCAAGACUUAAUACAAUGAACAUAGCCACAAUGAUCUAUAUAAAUGAUAAAAUGACAUGCAAGAAUCAGCAAAGUUAUCAUGAGAUGCAAUGGAAAUCACUUGUUUAGGCCAAAUGGAGCGGAGACAUAGAAAAAAAUAAACAAUGAUGUAGGUGAUACCUCAGAAGAAGUGGAAGGCGAUGCUUGUUACAUUGAGGAACUACUACUGUAAGCCAACAUGGCUUCAUUGAAUUCUCUAAAAAAUACAUUGCAUGCAUAAGUUUAAAUAAUUUAAUUGAAUUUAGUGGAUUAAACUUAGGUAAAUUAUAUUAUGCUAUAUAAAAUAAAAGCUUCGGUAAAUUAUGUUUUAGGGUUCUAGUUAAGAGUACUUUAAACCAUAUCUAGUUGCUCGAUCAUAGAGAAAUUUUAAACUGCUAAGAAGAACAAGGUCGAAAAAAUCACGAGAUUCAUGGUACAAAAUCUAAAUGGACUAAUAAAUUGAUCAGAAUCAGAAAAUCACAAUGAACAGUCAUGAGAAUGAGAGAUUGGACAAUAUUACAAUGACUGAUAAAAGUUAACCUUAAUAAAGAAAGAAUAAAAGAAAAAGGAUCACUAGUAAGUGCACGAGAGAGAAACAAACACACCAACCAAGAGAAGCUUGAUUAGAGAAAAUCAACAGGAAAGCAUCCUUGGAGUUGUUACUAUUGUACAUAAUAACAGAUGCAUGAUUGCUGCAAAUUUCAGCUUCCACGAAUGCACCAAACACAACAAGAUUGAUUGUCAUUUGGUGCGUGAGAAACUCCUUGCACACCUCUUUCGUGCAUAUUGCAUAGGAUGUGGGACAAUAGAUAAAUUUGUUUCACAGUUAAUUUAGUUACUCUAUAAUUCUGUUAAUUAGUUGUUGUAUCUACAACUUACUUAAGUUAGUUAAUUAGUUUUCUAUUUCUUCAUUUUUAUUGUUCCUUUCAUGUAAAUCCCUAUGAUCCAUACUUACAUUAUGAAUCCAUUGUCUAUAGAUGUAGAUGAAACCAACACUAUAUAGUUCAUUUUCAAUUUUCCAUUCAACUUGGGAAUUGUUUUGAUUGAAAAUUAAGGAAUGACGACAAAUCCACAAAGGUUCCCCCACCACCUCUCUUUAGAAUCCCCCCUGCCUCAUUGUGUAUUUUUUUUCUGUCAAAGUGAGAAAAAAAAUAUGAAAUUUCCUUUGUCAACACCACCAAGGUUUGAAGACACACAACAUUCUUAAUUCCUCUCUUUGGACUUUUUCAAAGACAAGUAAAAUAAAACAUCACUUCCAGAAUCAUUAAGCAAAUAAAAAAACAAAAUACAAGAUUAAUAAAGCAUGUCAAUAAACCAUUGACCAAAAUAAAGCAUGCCAACCACACAUGCAUACAAGGUUACUAAGAAAUUUAAACAAAAUUACAUUGCAUAGAAACAAAAGACCAAGCUGUACAAUGUCUUCCACAAAAAUGUUUGAUCUGAUUACGCAACCUUUCCCCCAAGUUUCCAUUGAAAUCUAGAUUAUAACAUCCUAUAAUGUCGAGAGAUUCAAGAAGAGGGCAUCCAUCAAGAAUAGCAAGCAACCCAACUUCACUGAGAGGGUUUCCAUGAAUAUCAAGAUGGCGUAGCCCAGGCAUUGUUUUUGCAAUAAUAAAUGCCUCAUCAUCACACUUGAAGCGGCCUCUAUACGACGCCCCGUUAAAUGUUAGCGAUCUCAAAAGAGGACAACUUUGACCAAUAACUUCAAGAGAUUUCCCAGAUUGGAUGCCAUAUGAAAUGUUAAUCUCCUCUAACAGGGGAAACUUCUUUGCAACUUUGCACCAACCUUCAUUUGAAACUCUACUGCAUGAAUCAAGUCAUAUGCACCUUAAAUUACUUUCCCUGUAAAAUAUAUGAUGAAAGGACAACUUAAAAAAUAUGAUACAUUCAUAAAAUACCGGGCCCUAAAUACUUAAAAAUACUAACAUUGAUGCAUUCAUAACAUAUAUGGCACUAAGCACAUAACAUGCAAAUAUACCCAAUUCCACAUUUCACACGUGCAAAAAAUUUGUUGAAUUGUCUUGUCUGGCCAAGUUUUUUUUUUUUUUUUGAAACAACAGAGAAGAGUUCCAAUUCGAAAUAAGAGUACAAAGAAUACUCAAUACAUAUACAACACAACAGCUAUAAUUAUGAAGAAUCAAACAAAAUCAAAGGACCCCCAAUAUUUGAUUAAGAUCUAGGUUAUGGGCACUUAGGAUCAAGGUAGUUAAAAUCGUGAUUUUACGCAACACUAACGGUAAGAUUAUACAAAAUUCAUAAACCUCCAUGACUGUUGUGAACCAAAUCUAACUUAUGAGGCCAAAACAACAACAAACUCAAACACAACAAUCACAUCUCAACAAAACAGGUUCUUUGUUUACUGGGUUCUUUGAUUUUCUGAAUUAUUUCAUUCUCUCCAUUUUUAUCUCAUCUGCAAAUUAAAACCCACACCCAUAUCAAAUUUGCUUUUAAUUUUCAGCAAGUUUCAAAGUCCAAAUUGAUGCAUUUGUAAAAAAUGGAUUCUUUGUUUACCGGGUAAUCUUUGUGCUCUAUUUAUUUGAUUUGGUUGAUUCCGCAUGAAUCCAAAUUGAUGCAGGAUCUAUGGAUGCUUUAUUUCUUGCUCUAUUAGCAAUAGAAAGAUCAAUUAUAACAUUGUUUUUUAAUUGAGAAUUAGGAAAGUUGUUGUUAGAUGGGGAAGAUGACCCUUGAGGAUUGCUGUCUUGCUGUAUGAAAGCCGAAAAAGUGAAAUCAAUAGUAAAAAAAAAAAUAUGAUUGUGUGAGUUUAGAACCGGUAGCCAAAAAAAAGUUUAAAACACUUAUGACAUGGCCCAAUCUAAGAGAGGGUGGCUGAGGGAGAGUGUUGGACAGAAAACCUUAAAUCACACUUGAAAUGCUUAUGUAAAUUUAAAUUCUUAAGCAUAGCUCACUUAAAAACAUAGUUGCAUAACACUUACCUAAUUAAAAUUGGAAGUACUUAUGUAAUUGUAACUCUAACACUCACAUAACAACAACAUAACACUUGAAAUACUUGUAUGAUUCAAACGUUAAAUCAAACUAGCAAGUCUCAAACAAAACAACAACUAAAGUUGUCUUCGGUAGUUCCAGCACCGCGACCAUAAUCGUAGAAUCAUUUCAAAGAUCAGUAGAUUAUACAUGGUUCCACCAAAAUAAGAUUUUGUGUAUACUCAUAAUCACUGAGAACAAGUAUAAUCGCAAAAAUGUAAGAUUUUACGCUCAAAUCGAGAUUUUAACUACAAUGAUUACGAUGCAAUUCACAGGAUCUUCACAUCAUUCGUAGAAGAGAUAGUGGUCAUUGACCACUGGUAAAGCUAUUAACAACUAAAAGAAACCCAAACAUUCGAUUAAAAGCCAAGACCUGAAACCCAAACAUUCCAUUAAAACCUAAGACCUUAGAAUGAAAUCCAUAGGUUACACAUAAUUCAUAGAAGAGAUAGAGGCCAAGCUAUUGACAACUAGAAAACACACAUAAACGGAGGCAUUGCACAACAUUUUCAAUGACUUAGAAAAUAUAAAAAAUUGAAUAUGGCAAAAUGCAUAUCAAAAUACCAAUAACUAAAAAAUAAAUCUUAAGCAGCAAGAAAUAGAACUCCCUUUGGUCCCUAUUAUAAGAAAAAAUUAAAUGAAUAACUGAAGUAUUUGGUCGAUAAUCCAAGUACAAAUGUCAUUAAAUGAAUCUAAAAAGUGAAUUUGUUCAACCCGAGAGACUAUAAAACAAGAGGCUGCUUAUAUAUACUAGACAAAUAAAAAUUGAAACAUGGUUACCAGUUAAAAAUUGUAGCACAAGAAUAAAUAUUAAAACAUGAAAAGAAACAAACAUCGCUUCUCAUAAUCCCCUUUGCACAGAAACAAACGACCUAUUAAAUAAUGAUACUCACAAAAUAGAAGAGAGAAUAGGAAAGUAAAAUGGGUAUUACCUAUCAGCAAUGUAUUGGAGAAGAUCAUCAGUACCAAAUCCAUAGAUAUCAAUCUUUUCUAAAUGACCAGAACUUAGGUCAACAGCAUAUUGACAAAGAUUGACCAAACGGUUAAGAUAUGGAGUCCCACGAUUUGCAAAUUGGAAGUAAAGAUGAGAUCUUCCCAUGUGAAUCUUGCGCCACAUGAAAGGAUCUUUGCAAAUAUUCCACCAAUAAGGACACACAUAGCGUGCCUUUGUGAGAAUGUUUGAUGUAACAUCUCUUGGAAGUUCAAGCCAGUUAGGUUUUGCUCUUGCUGUUGUGCUCUCAAGUUUUGGUUUCUUAGUCGGACACGAAAAAGACAUCUUGUGUAUUUUGAAGUUCAAAGAGCAAUAUUCCUACCCUUGAGUUAAGCUCACGCGGAUAAUUAAUCUUUUACUUUGUCUCUCCUUAAUCUUUAUUAUAAGCAACAUUGACUAAUUUCACAAUCUAAGAAAAGUUGUUGGUAUAUUUAAUUUGACUUUCAUAUUUCAAUACAAGUCAGUAGUGUUAAUUAGAAGUAUGUGGCUCAUAAUAAUGUAUGUGGCUCAUAAUAUGAACUACAUCCAUCAUUAAAUAAAUGAACCUAAAAAGUAAAUUUUGUUUAUAUUUUAAAACUGAUGAGUAAGUACAAAAAGAACAAAAAUGUAUCUAGUAGUUUCAGCAGGGUUUAUAUCUAGAUAAUAUUUUUUUUUUUAAAGGGAUGAAUGCUAGCAACACUCACUUUUGAGCACUCUCUAACACUCACUCUUUUAUUGAAUAAAAUUAAUGUAUGUUUCACCACUUUGUGUGAGUUCAAUUUUCAAAAUGUAUUUAAACCAAUAAGAGAGUAAGUGUUAGAGAUGGUGCUCAAAAAAGAGUGUUGCUGACAUUCUUCUUUCAAAAGAGACUUAUAAUUAAGGAUGGUAAUUGUGUAUUCUCAUUGUAAAAAAUAAAAGUGAGAGUAGACUAUAAUGACUUACAAGACCUCUGACCUAGCAUUUUCGAGCCCCAUGCCAAACCAUAUCUUUUUAGAAAAUGUUCCCGCGUUGAAGAUUCUAAGAAACACCAUGAAAAUACUAAAAUAACCUCAACUGCUGAUGUGGGGUUAAAUUUGUCAUCGCAUGAUAUUUUUUAGCUUUAUUUGUAUUGUAAACAACAUUGUUCAAUUUUCAUCUUUUUAUAUUAAAAAAUGAACAGGUCAGACUAUAAGCCAUGAAAAAAUAAUUUACUACUACUUAGUUUAGUGAAUAUAAAUGAUAUGUUCAAUUACUAUUAUUAUAUUUAAUUUUAUACUUUGUUUUUAAUCCAUAGGUUUACCAACCUUUUCAGUAAUUUAAAGAUAUUGACCUGCACAAAAUUUUGACAUUUAAUUGUUCUAAUAAAAUAAAAUUUAAAUAGGAUGUUAUAUAAACAAAUUUCUAGACCUAUGCUUAUCUUAAAAAUUGACCUAUGACAAUUAAUAAAUCAAACUCACGUCAAACAUUUGAAAAACAGAUCAGGCGCAGACAUUACAAAACCUAACCCAGCUUUUUCACACUUCUAAUAUAAAUAUGCUCUUCUGCAAUGUAAACCACAUAAAUUAGAUGAUAGAUUUUAUGCUCUUCCGCAAUGCAAACCAUGAUCUUUUGUUUGCUUUGGAUGCAAUGUAACUUUUCUAUUGAGCAAUAUGAUGUCUUGUGAAGAAAAAUAGGGAGCUGAAAAACAGAGUUGCUGCUGCUACCAAAGAGAAGGGAGAAGAAGCAAUUGUUAUGGCACAUGUGCAGGCAAAAUUAGAAGCCAAGAAGGGUCAAGGGAAAAGGUAAAACUAAAGCAAACUUAGGACUCACUAACAGAGUAUAAAUGUACAACAGUACAAGGCCUUAAAAUUAAGUUUGUACUUGCUGUUUGGUUUUACAUAGCGAACCAACAAACUUGGUAAUCUAUAGGAAACAAAAUGUAUAACAUCUAUAGUUGUUUUUUUUUUUUUUUUGAGAGGAACAUCUAUAGUUGUUAGACGGUAUUCUUCUAUUUCUCAAAUCCCUACGUCAGGGUAAUUACAAGAAAACAAGUCAUAAGCUACAAACUUUGAUACAUGACGAGUGAGUUUCAGUCAUAAUAGAUUAUUAUGAUCACAAAAUCAUAAUUAAAAAUUAGACGAGGUACUCAAACCAUGUCCGCAAUAUCAUUAUGUCCACUGUCAUUCCACCCAGAUCCUGCUCGAAAUUUGCAGACAGGGCAAGUCCCCUGUUGCCGCAGCCAGGGAUCAAUGCAACUAGCGUGAAACUACAAGAUAAAAACAAAUAAACAGCAUCAGUAGCACAUUGAGAUAAAUUAUCGACAAAGUAUCAACCAUGAGGUUUUUUUAUACUUAGAAUUGCUUGACUGCUUAAUGCAACAGUCAA